GACCACAUGGGCCUUGGGGUAGGAUUGUAGAGUGGGGUGCAAGUUCAGGCAAGGAGUGUAUAACGGUAGGCACAAACCGAUCCAAGCCCUAAAUAGUCCAAACCGGGUUCUUGCCAAAAUGAACAAAAAAGGAGAUCCUUGUUGAAGCUAAAGCGGCGCCUGUUCAGAUUAUUGUGGCGUAUUGGUUAUUGUGCUUAUUGCAAUUUUGGAGUAAUCGAGCUUACCAACGGAAUGGAUCGAACAAAUCAACGUGAAAACGCUCCGUCGCGGUGCCUCUCCAGUAAUCCAAAGGUGAAUUAGUGAUUGUCAAUGGUUCUGAUGAAGUGUGUUUCCGUUAUCGCAUUUCGUCGUUCUGGUAUGCUAUUUGGUUAAGCUACAAGCGGCGUUUGCGUUGCAUUUCUCCAGCUCAUGUUUUGACAUUGCAAUUGUGUUGCGUUUCCUUUAACUGUUUCUAGAGGUUGGGUUCAAGUUUGUGACCCAUGAUGUUGAUAUGAUUAUGGAUAUGGAUGGUAAAUGGUUUGUUCUAAUGGAUAUGGAUGGUAAAUGGUUUGUGUUAAUGGAUAUAUAGUUUAAAUGGA